rnacentral:rRNA from 1 species
UACGGGGGGGGCAAGCGUUGUUCGGAAUUACUGGGCGUAAAGGGUUCGUAGGUGGCCAAUUAAGUCAGACGUGAAAUCCCUCAGCUUAACUGGGGAACUGCGUCUGAGACUGGAUGGCUUGAGUGCAGGAGAGGAACGCGGAAUUCCAGGUGUAGCGGUGAAAUGCGUAGAUAUCAGGAGGAACACCGGUGGCGAAGGCGGUUCUCUGGGCAUGUCCUGACGCUGAGGAGCGAAAGUGUGGGGAGCGAACAGG